CCCUAUGGGGUGCAGCAGUCGCGAAACCUUCGCAAUGCGCGCAAGCGUGACGAGGGGACCCCAAGUGCGCAUGUACAGCAUGUGCUUUUCUUUAGGGUAAACAGCUUUUGGAAUAAGGGCUGGGUAAGACUGGUGCCAGCCUCCGCGGUAACACCAGCAGCUCAAGUGGUGAUCACGUUUACUGGGUUUAAAGCGUACGUAAUCUGCUUAGCAAGUUUUCUGUGAAAUCCUGCAGCUCAACUGUAGGGAUUGCAGAAAAUACUACUAGGCUAGAGACCGGGGCAGAAGUGGGGUAUUCUGGGGGUAGCGGUGAAAUGCUAUAAUCCCUGGAGGACCACCGGUAGCGAAGGCGCCACUCUGGAACGGUUCUGACGAUGAGGUACGAGAGCUAGGGGAGCGAACAGGAUUAGAUACCCUGGUAGUCCUAGCCGUAAACGAUGCAGAUUUAGUGUUUCCCGAACCUCGUGUUCGGGAAGUGCUGUAGGGAAACCGUUAAAUCUGCCACCUGGGGAGUACGGUCGCAAGGCUGAAACUUAAAGGAAUUGGCGGGGGAACACCACAAGGGGUGGAUGCUGCGGUUCAAUUGGAUACAACCCCGGAAAACUCACCAGGGGCGACGGCACUAUGAAGUACAGGCUGAAAGUCUUUCUGAGAGCCGAGAGGUAGUGCAUGGCCAA
rnacentral:rRNA from 1 species